rnacentral:rRNA from 1 species
CUCAGAUUGAACGCUGGCGGAAUGCUUUACACAUGCAAGUCGAACGGGCUUAAGGGGCUUGCUCCUUAAGUUAGUGGCGAACGGGUGAGUAAUAUAUCGGAACGUAUCCAAUAAUGGGGGAUAACUAAUCGAAAGGUUGGCUAAUACCGCAUACGCCCUACGGGGGAAAGCAGGGGAUCUUCGGACCUUGCGUUAAUGGAGCGGCCAAUAUCUGAUUAGCUAGUUGGUGGGGUAAAGGCCCACCAAGGCGACGAUCAGUAGCUGGUCUGAGAGGACGACCAGCCACACUGGGACUGAGACACGGUCCAGACUCCUACGGGAGGCAGCAGUGGGGAAUUUUGGACAAUGGGCGAAAGCCUGAUCCAGCCAUUCCGCGUGAGUGAAGAAGGCCUUCGGGUUGUAAAGCUCUUUCGCAAGGAAAGAAAACUUACUUACUAAUACUAGGUGAGGAUGACGGUACCUUGAUAAGAAGCACCGGCUAACUACGUGCCAGCAGCCGCGGUAAUACGUAGGGUGCGAGCGUUAAUCGGAAUUACUGGGCGUAAAGCGUGCGCAGGCUGUUUUGUAAGUCAGAUGUGAAAUCCCUGGGCUCAACCUAGGAACUGCGUUUGAAACUACAAGGCUAGAGUGUAGCAGAGGGGGGUAGAAUUCCACGUGUAGCAGUGAAAUGCGUAGAGAUGUGGAGGAAUACCAAUGGCGAAGGCAGCCCCCUGGGUUAACACUGACGCUCAUGCACGAAAGCGUGGGGAGCAAACAGGAAUAGAUACCCUGGUAGUCCACGCCCUAAACGAUGUCUACUAAUUUGUUGGGAGAGUAAAAUCUUUUAGUAACGCAGCUAACGCGUGAAGUAGACCGCCUGGGGGAGUACGGUCGCACGAUUAAAAUUCAAAGGAAUUGACGGGGGCCCGCACAAGCGGUGGAUUAUGUGGAUUAAUUCGAUGCAACGCGAAAAACCUUACCUGGCCUUGACAUGCUACUAACGAAGCAGAGAUGCAUUAGGUGCCCGAAAGGGAAAGUAGACACAGGUGCUGCAUGGCUGUCGUCAGCUCGUGUCGUGAGAUGUUGGGUUAAGUCCCGCAACGAGCGCAACCCUUGCCAUUAAUUGCCAUCAUUUAGUUGGGCACUAUAAUGGGACUGCCGGUGACAAACCGGAGGAAGGUGGGGAUGACGUCAAGUCCUCAUGGCCUUUAUGGCCAGGGUUUCACACGUAAUACAACGGUCGGUACAGAGGGUUGCCAACCCGCGAGGGGGAGCCAAUCCCAGAAAGCCGAUCGUAGUCCGGAUUGCAGUGUGCAACUCGACUGCAUGAAGUCGGAAUCGCUAGUAAUCGCGGAUCAGCAUGUCGCGGUGAAUACGUUCCCGGGCCUUGUACACACCGCCCGUCACACCAUGGGAGUGGGUUCCACCAGAAGUAGUUAGUCUAACCGCAAGGAGGACGAUUACCACGGUGGGAUUCAUGACUGGGGUGAAGUCG